GAUCCUGGCUCAGGAUGAACGCUAGCUACAGGCUUAACACAUGCAAGUCGAGGGGCAGCAUGGUCUUAGCUUGCUAAGGCUGAUGGCGACCGGCGCACGGGUGAGUAACACGUAUCCAACCUGCCGCCUACUCUUGGCCAGCCUUCUGAAAGGAAGAUUAAUCCAGGAUGGGAUCAUGAGUUCACAUGUCCGCAUGAUUAAAGUAUUUCCGGUUACGACGAUGGGUAGUG
rnacentral:rRNA from 1 species